CGGGGCGUGGCGCAGUCUGGUUUUAGCGUGUCUGACUGGGGGUCAGAAGGUCGCAGGUUCAAAUCCUGUCGCCCCGA
rnacentral:tRNA from 1 species